rnacentral:rRNA from 1 species
CAGUCGCCGCGGUAACACGAAGGGUGCAAGCGUUACUCGGAAUUACUGGGCGUAAAGCGUGCGUAGGUGGUGGUUUAAGUCCGUUGUGAAAGCCCUGGGCUCAACCUGGGAAUUGCAGUGGAUACUGGGUCACUAGAGUGUGGUAGAGGAUAGUGGAAUUUCCGGUGUAGCAGUGAAAUGCGUAGAGAUCGGAAGGAACAUCCGUGGCGAAGGCGACUAUCUGGGCCAACACUGACACUGAGGCACGAAAGCGUGGGGAGCAAACAGGAUUAGAUACCCCAGUAGUCCCUGUCUCUUAUAC